AUGGCUGGAAUCCCACCGCGAGAAUCAAUGGCUUCUCAAGAUGGAGACGAAAGCUCGGCUGCGGCUGGUGCAGGGAAUUUUACCUCAGCUGAUCCUUCGUCUCAACGUGCUACACCAAUAUCUUUAGCUACUCCGAUAUCUCAAGCUGCUACUCCAACAUCUCAAUCUGCUACUGUAACAUCUCAAGCUACAUCUAGCAGAGCUGGUUCUAAGAGGAAGCGAACAUCGGCAGUAUGGGAUGAGAUGGAAGAGAAAUUAGAAAAUGGGCAACUGAAAGCCGAGUGCAAUCAUCGUCACAGAAAAUUUACUGCAGGACCUAGAGCUGGCACAACUCACUUGCGUGUACAUUUGGAAUCUUGUCCUGCUAAGCAUGCACCCAUUGGUCCACAACAACAAAAACUGAGGUUGACCAAAGGUGAAGGUGGCAAAGUGAAUAUGGAAAAUGUCAUUUUUGACCAAGAGAAGGCUAGGAGAGAUCUUGCAUUGAUGAUAUGUGAACAUGAGUAUCCUCUAUCUAUUGUGGAUCAUAGUGGUUUUCGUAGAUUUUGUUCUUCUUUGCAGCCGAUGUUUAAGAUGGUGUGCAGAAAUACUAUUAGGAAUGAUAUUGUGGCUAUGCAUUCUGCUCAAAAGGAGAAGAUGGUGAAUUUUUUUGCAACAUUCAAGCACCGAGUGGCUGUCACUACAGAUUUGUGGACAGCGGGCUAUCAAAAGAGAGGUUACAUGGCUGUUACCGCGCACUAUAUAGAUGAUUCUUGGAACCUAAAGAGCUUUCUUAUGAGGUUUGCUUAUGUGCCCUGUCCACAUUCAGCUGAGGUUAUAUGUGAAGCCUUGUAUGAAUGUCUUGUUGAGUGGCACCUUGAGAGGAAGAUCUCCACCGUCACUUUGGACAACUGCACAUCAAAUGACAAGGCUAUGGGAAUAUUGCCAGAUAAGUUGGAUACAAGCUCUCUCAUGCUGGAUGGUCAAUUACUGCAUAUGCGUUGUGCUGCUCACAUAUUAAACUUAAUUGUAAAGGAUGGAAUGAGUGUCUUAGAGAAAGGUAUAGAGUGGUUGCGAGACAGUGUUGCAUUUUGGUCGGCCACACCUAAAAGGCAUGAGAAGUUUGAAAAGAUGGCAAAAACUUUAAACAUAGAGUAUAACAAAAGGUUAACUCUUGAUUGUAAGACUAGAUGGAAUUCAAGUUAUAUCAUGAUUAGCAUUGCAGUACGAUACAUAGAGAUAUUUGAAAAAUUAAAGGCACGUGAAAAGAAGUUUAAGUGUUGCCCAACCAAAGAUGAUUGGAAGUUUGCAAAAGAAAUAUGUGAUAGGCUGAAGCUCUUCUUUGAUAUCACCAAGUCAUUCUCGGGCACGAAGUAUGUCACAGCAAAUCUUUUUUUCCCUAAAGUGAUUACCAUUCGCUUAGCCAUAAGGAAAUGGGGUAAGAGUGACAUUGAGCUUAUACAAAAAAUGUCCGGGGAAAUGAAGGAUAAGUUUGAGAAGUAUUGGAAAGAUAUCCAUGGUCUUAUGUCUGUUGCAACAGUUCUUGAUCCAAGGUAUAAACUUCAUAUCCUCAAUGCUCUUUAUGGUCCCCUCUAUGGAAGAGAGCAUGCAGCCACAGGAAGGUGA
rnacentral:rRNA from 1 species